rnacentral:rRNA from 1 species
UUGCAAUGCAGCAGCUAUACAUGCAGUCGAGCGGACAGAUGGGAGCUUGCUCCCUGAUGUUAGCGGCGGACGGGUGAGUAACACGUGGGUAACCUGCCUGUAAGACUGGGAUAACUCCGGGAAACCGGGGCUAAUACCGGAUGGUUGUCUGAACCGCAUGGUUCAGACAUAAAAGGUGGCUUCGGCUACCACUUACAGAUGGACCCGCGGCGCAUUAGCUAGUUGGUGAGGUAACGGCUCACCAAGGCGACGAUGCGUAGCCCACCUGAGAGGGUGAUCGGCCACACUGGGACUGAGACACGGCCCAGACUCCUACGGGAGGCAGCAGUAGGGAAUCUUCCGCAAUGGACGAAAGUCUGACGGAGCAACGCCGCGUGAGUGAUGAAGGUUUUCGGAUCGUAAAGCUCUGUUGUUAGGGAAGAACAAGUGCCGUUCAAAUAGGGCGGCACCUUGACGGUACCUAACCAGAAAGCCACGGCUAACUACGUGCCAGCAGCCGCGGUAAUACGUAGGUGGCAAGCGUUGUCCGGAAUUAUUGGGCGUAAAGGGCUCGCAGGCGGUUUCUUAAGUCUGAUGUGAAAGCCCCCGGCUCAACCGGGGAGGGUCAUUGGAAACUGGGGAACUUGAGUGCAGAAGAGGAGAGUGGAAUUCCACGUGUAGCGGUGAAAUGCGUAGAGAUGUGGAGGAACACCAGUGGCGAAGGCGACUCUCUGGUCUGUAACUGACGCUGAGGAGCGAAAGCGUGGGGAGCGAACAGGAUUAGAUACCCUGGUAGUCCACGCCGUACACGAUGAGUGCUAAGUGUUAGGGGGUUUCCGCCCCUUAGUGCUGCAGCUAACGCAUUAAGCACUCCGCCUGGGGAGUACGGUCGCAAGACUGAAACUCAGAGGAAUUGACGGGGGCCCGCACAAGCGGUGGAGCAUGUGGUUUAAUUCGAAGCAACGCGAAGAACCUUACCAGGUCUUGACAUCCUCUGACAAUCCUAGAGAUAGGACGUCCCCUUCGGGGGCAGAGUGACAGGUGGUGCAUGGUUGUCGUCAGCUCGUGUCGUGAGAUGUUGGGUUAAGUCCCGCAACGAGCGCACCCUUGAUCUUAGUUGCCAGCAUUCAGUUGGGCACUCUAAGGUGACUGCCGGUGACAACCGGAGAAGGGGGGGGAUGACGUCAAAUCAUCAGGCCCCUUAUAACCGGGGCAAACACGUGGUUCAAUGGGAAGAAACAAGG